rnacentral:sRNA from 1 species
GCCGGGCACGUGGCACACACCUGUAAUCCUGGCAACUCAGGAGGCUGAGGCAGGAGGAUUGCAAAUUCAAGGCCAGCCUCAGCAAAAGUGAGGCCUUAAGCAACUCAGUGAGACCCUGUCUCUA